CCUACGGGAGACAGCAGUGGGGGAUAUUGCACAAUGGGGGAAACCCUGAUGCAGCGACGCCGCGUGAGUGAAGAAGUAUUUCGGUAUGUAAAGCUCUAUCAGCAGGGAAGAAAAUGACAGUACCUGACAAAGAAGCGACGGCUAACUACGUGCCAGCAGCCGCGGUAAUACGUAGGGGGCAAGCGUUAUCCGGAUUUACGGGGUGUAACGGGAACGGAGACGGUUGUGUGAGUCUGGAGUGAAAGCCCGGGGCCCAACCCCGGGACUGCUUUGGAAACUGUGUAACUGGAGUAUAGUAGGGGCAGGCAGAAUUCCUGGUGUAGCGGUGAAAUGCGUAGAGAUCAGGAGGAACACCGGCGGCGAAGGCGGCCUGCUGGACUGAAACUGACGUUGAGGCUCGAAAGCGUGGGGAGCAAACAGGAUUAGAUACCCCGGUAGUC
rnacentral:rRNA from 1 species